rnacentral:pre_miRNA from 1 species
UUUAUUGUCGUUCAAAGUAAAUCUCGUGCGGCUUGUUUUUAUUCCAAGCUGUAAGAGAUUCACUUAGAUUGAUGAUAGA